rnacentral:rRNA from 1 species
UACAGAGGGUGCGAGCGUUAAUCGGAAUUACUGGGCGUAAAGCGCGCGUAGGCGGCUUUGUAAGCCAGAUGUGAAAUCCCCGGGCUUAACCUGGGAAUGGCAUUUGGGACUGCAAGGCUGGAGUGUGGCAGAGGAGACUGGAAUUCCCGGUGUAGCAGUGAAAUGCGUAGAUAUCGGGAGGAAUACCGAUGGCGAAGGCAGGUCUCUGGGCUGACACUGACGCUCAUGCACGAAAGCGUGGGGAGCAAACAGG